rnacentral:lncRNA from 1 species
AAAACAGUAGCGCAUUUGGUAAGUGGUCGAUCUGAGAACAAUGAGACGGGUGCGAGCGUGCACGAGACGACUCCAAGUUUACAUUUUCAGUCUUUAAACGAAAACAAUGACUCCCAGUCGGAAUAUUAUCGCUAUUUUCGAGAAAAUCGCAUAAAAAUGGAUUUUAAACAGCGUUUGACAUGCUUCGAAGUACGGUAAUGGAAUAUUUUGAAAUUCUUUGUCACGAUACGCGUCGGGCGCGUCACCCUUCGUUACCCUUCGGAUAGUGUCUUGAACGCACAACAAAACGCCGCUAUUUGGAUAUAACUAUGGAUUAUUUGGAACCAAAACAACAUUGGGUGAUGAAGUAGAAGUCCUGGGAGUGCAUUCUGACGAAGAACAGCAAAGGUUUUUAUAUGACCUUUCAUAUCGAGUGGUUCCAAUGACAAAUUUUUACGCGAGCCACCUGUGCCUGGUGGCGUUCUUCAACAAAGAUGGCUGACAAAACAUUACGGUGGAUCCAAAUGGACUCCUGAGAAAACCAGCAAACCAGGCUGUCGUCUGUGAAACAGUGGAUGUAAAGAAUCUAG